UACGGAGGGUCCAAGCGUUAUCCGGAAUCAUUGGGUUUAAAGGGUCCGUAGGCGGUUUUGUAAGUCAGUGGUGAAAGCCCAUCGCUCAACGGUGGAACGGCCAUUGAUACUGCAAGACUUGAAUUAUUAGGAAGUAACUAGAAUAUGUAGUGUAGCGGUGAAAUGCUUAGAUAUUACAUGGAAUACCAAUUGCGAAGGCAGGUUACUACUAAUGGAUUGACGCCGAUGGACGAAAGCGUGGGGAGCGAACAGG
rnacentral:rRNA from 1 species